rnacentral:rRNA from 1 species
GACGAACGCUGGCGGCGUGCUUAACACAUGCAAGUCGAACGGUAAGGCCCUUCGGGGUACACGAGUGGCGAACGGGUGAGUAACACGUGGGUAAUCUGCCCUGCACUUCGGGAUAAGCCUGGGAAACUGGGUCUAAUACCGGAUAUUCAGUUCCUGCCGCAUGGUGGGGGUUGGAAAGUUUUUCGGUGCAGGAUGAGCCCGCGGCCUAUCAGCUUGUUGGUGGGGUAAUGGCCUACCAAGGCGACGACGGGUAGCCGGCCUGAGAGGGUGAUCGGCCACACUGGGACUGAGACACGGCCCAGACUCCUACGGGAGGCAGCAGUGGGGAAUAUUGCACAAUGGGCGAAAGCCUGAUGCAGCGACGCCGCGUGAGGGAUGACGGUCUUCGGAUUGUAAACCCCUUUCAGUAGGGACGAAGCGCAAGUGACGGUACCUGCAGAAGAAGCACCGGCCAACUACGUG